rnacentral:misc_RNA from 1 species
AACUGAUACUACCUGCGGGAACCUGCGGAGGGAUCAUUACCAAAACGGCCGCAAGGCCAGUGGAGGGCUCGCGCCCGACACGCUACCCUUUGUGAAAACCUCUGUUGCUUCGGCGGCAUCCCACGGGGGCAACCCCGGGGUGUCAGCCCGCCGAUGGAAAACCCAGCAGUAACAAGAUUGUCUGAAAAAUUAGCGAAUGCUAUAAAACUUUCAGCAACGGAUCUCUAGAUCGGAAGAGCA